GGGUGUAUAGCUCAGUUGGUAGAGCAUUGGGCUUUUAACCUAAUGGUCGCAGG
rnacentral:tRNA from 1 species